UCUUGCUGGUGUCAUGUUAGAAAUCCUAGCCUAAAAAUCUUAGUUAACAAUUGCUCUGAAUUCUAUUUUGGACAGAUGACCAUCCAAAUCCUCUCUCUUCAUGGAUAUCAUGCUGUCACAGCACAAGCUGAAUACACUUCUCACAACUCCUGAUCCAGACUGUGUUGGUGUGAUCCUCCCUCCUCCAGCCUGAUACCCAAAUCCUGGACUUCAGCAAUUUCUCCAUGUUUCUUGCUGUUCUUAUUGACCAUGAAGCCCUGCAAUGUAUCAACACUGUUCUCAACUGGAAACAAACCUGUAGUGCUGUUUUUUUUGCUGGGUAAAUGACCCAGAGGAUUUUGGUACAAAUGAGAUGGUUAAUUUUGAUAUUCAUGCAAAGGGAGAAUAGAGCUCAUUAAGAGGUUGUUAAGUAAGAACAAGCUUGGAAGGAAAGAAGGCUGAAACCAUGAAAAGUCCAAAGUCUGAGUCCAGACUACCCUACUUUACUGUCCAGGUAUGCAGACCUCUCGACUUUCCUGUUGUGGUGCACGACUCACUCCACGUGCCAGUUUACAAGUGACUUGGAGCAGCAGCACAGCCCAAAGAGGUGUAACCACGGGUAAAUGCCAGGUACUGGUGGAGCACCCGGACCCUGGGCUGGAGGAGAAUCUGAUCCCUUGGGCAGCCACACAUCUGUUUUCUUUGGGACAGAUACCCAGCUACUUCCAUCCUUUGGCCUAGCAGCAGUCCCCCUGCCACUCUCCUGUUUCCAGGAAGCGCUUUUAGAGACAGAUGGUAUCAAAUGUUAUCUCAAAUUUAAUUUUUGGAUAAGUGCAUUAGAAGGGCAUGCAUCAUGAACAGGGAUUACUUUCAUUUAAAUGUAAAAAAAAAAUUUAAAAAAAAUUAAAAAAGUUUAAAAAUCCUAGAAGAACAUUCUGACAAUUCUCCCAGCAAAUUAUGACUUAAUAUUUUGAGUAAAUGAGGUGAUGAAAUUUAUGAAACAGACCUUUUAAAGGUAGGAAAUUAGGGACCUGCAUGAAUUUGUGUCACAGGCUCCAUUUUACAAGCUACAUUUUAUCAUUCACAGUACAAAAUGAAAGUAAAGAGCUCUGUUUCAUCAGUUACUCAUAUGCAGCUGCUAUGAAAAUAAUAUGUUUGAUAUAAUUCAUUUGACAUUUGAUGGGUUUAAGGUUCCUCUGACAAGAUAUAAUCAACUCAUUAUGGAGAAACAGAAACCUUCCAUGUUACAAAUGAAUUAUUCCUAGUCAUGAUUGAAUUACUGUGUAUUUAGUGAAAAUGGGAUGGAGGGGUUUCCAGUAGAAGUGGGUAUUUUAUCAUCAGGCCUGUGUGAUAAAAGCCAACUCAAGUCACUUUAUGUUUUUUCUCUUCAGUGCUCUGAUUAAUGAGUGGCAUCACUUUUUCAAACCAACAAAUUAGAUCUUUCCAUUUUUUUCACAU